GGUCAUACACAUGUGGCAGAAGCACUAAAAGUACCGAUUCAUAUAUUUUUCACAAUGCCCUGGACGCCAACUAGUGAAUUCCCACAUCCUUUGUCCCAUGUCAAGCAACAAAACAAGCUGGAUAUAGACUGUCCUAUCAAAUUGUGGACUCUUUGAUUUGGCUGGGAAUAUGGGACAUGAUUAAUGAUGUUCGCAAAAAGAAGCUGAAACUUCGUCCUGUCACAUAUUAGGAUAAAAUGAUGGAGUUAAGGGGUCAACAUCCUCCAGAAGAAUUGUCUGAUAAAGAGAUUAUGGAGCGUGUACUUGGACGUGAUUCGGUAUACUUGUGAGGGUGGGGGCGGUCUCCUAGUGUCAUAACUUCUACUUCACAUCGUGAAAAUAUUGUGGGUAAUCAACCAACUUAUGAAGAGUUACUUGAACGACUUAAUGAUACAACUUCCCGCCUUAAUGCUACUAACGAAGAACUUAGUGUAGUUGUGGAUAUACUUCGUCAUAACAAUUUGAUGGCACUGCCUCCACCACCUCCAACAGACCAAGCUUCAAAUGCAAAUUUAAGAGAGUCGCCAUCUAUUUCAGUUCGGGAGUCACAAGAUGAUUCUUAGUUUAUUUACAUUAAUUUACUAAGGAAUGAACUUUAUGAAGUUUUUUUUAUUUUGGUAGGGGUAACCUUAAAAUGAUAACUUUAUGACUUAUUUUAGUAUUGAACAUUAUAAAGAAUUUUAGCAUUAAACAUUUUAUUA